AUUGAACGCUGGCGGCAGGCCUAACACAUGCAAGUCGAACGGUAACAGAAAGCAGCUUGCUGCUUUGCUGACGAGUGGCGGACGGGUGAGUAAUGUCUGGGAAACUGCCUGAUGGAGGGGGAUAACUACUGGAAACGGUAGCUAAUACCGCAUAACGUCGCAAGACCAAAGAGGGGGGCCUUCGGGCCUCUUGCCAUCGGAUGUGCCCAGAUGGGAUUAGCUAGUAGGUGGGGUAACGGCUCACCUAGGCGACGAUCCCUAGCUGGUCUGAGAGGAUGACCAGCCACACUGGAACUGAGACACGGUCCAGACUCCUACGGGAGGCAGCAGUGGGGAAUAUUGCACAAUGGGCGCAAGCCUGAUGCAGCCAUGCCGCGUGUAUGAAGAAGGCCUUCGGGUUGUAAAGUACUUUCAGCGGGGAGGAAGGGAGUAAAGUUAAUACCUUUGCUCAUUGACGUUACCCGCAGAAGAAGCACCGGCUAACUCCGUG
rnacentral:rRNA from 1 species